rnacentral:rRNA from 1 species
UACUCCUACGGGAGGCAGCAGUAGGGAAUCUUCGGCAAUGGACGGAAGUCUGACCGAGCAACGCCGCGUGAGUGAAGAAGGUUUUCGGAUCGUAAAGCUCAGUUGUAAGAGAAGAACGAGUGUGAGAGUGGAAAGUUCACACUGUGACGGUAUCUUACCAGAAAGGGACGGCUAACUACGUGCCAGCAGCCGCGGUAAUACGUAGGUCCCGAGCGUUAUCCGGAUUUAUUGGGCGUAAAGCGAGCGCAGGCGGUUAGAUAAGUCUGAAGUUAAAGGCUGUGGCUUAACCAUAGUACGCUUUGGAAACUGUUUAACUUGAGUGCAAGAGGGGAGAGUGGAAUUCCAUGUGUAGCGGUGAAAUGCGUAGAUAUAUGGAGGAACACCGGUGGCGAAAGCGGCUCUCUGGCUUGUAACUGACGCUGAGGCUCGAAAGCGUGGGGAGCAAACAGGAUUAGAUACCCUGGUAGUCCACGCCGUAAACGAUGAGUGCUAGGUGUUAGACCCUUUCCGGGGUUUAGUGCCGUAGCUAACGCAUUAAGCACUCCGCCUGGGGAGUACGACCGCAAGGUUGAAACUCGAAGGAAUUGACGGA